GCCUGUCACUAGUCAAAUUGAUGUUAAAUCAAUUUGCCAGCGUUCCAGCGCAUUCGUAAUGCGUGGGUCGGUAGUUCGAGUCUACUAACCGGCACCA
rnacentral:tRNA from 1 species